rnacentral:rRNA from 1 species
GACGAACGCUGGCGGCGUGCUUAACACAUGCAAGUCGAACGGAAAGGCCCUGCUUUUGUGGGGUGCUCGAGUGGCGAACGGGUGAGUAGCACGUGAGUAACCUGCCCUUGACUUUGGGAUAACUUCAGGAAACUGGGGCUAAUACCGGAUAGGAGCUCCUGCUGCAUGGUGGGGGUUGGAAAGUUUCGGCGGGUGGGGAUGGACUCGCGGCUUAUCAGCUUGUUGGUGGGGUAGGGGCUUACCAAGGCUUUGACGGGUAGCCGGCCUGGGAGGGUGCACGGCCACAUUGGGCCUGCGCUACGGCCCAGACUCCUACGGGAGGCAGCAGUGGGGAAUAUUGCACAAUGGGCGGAAGCCUGAUGCAGCAACGCCGCGUGCGGGAUGACGGCCUUCGGGUUGUAAACCGCUUUCGCCUGUGACGAAGCGUGAGUGACGGUAAUGGGUAAAGAAGCACCGGCUAACUACGUG